UACACUAAUACAAUAGGUUGUAUACUGUAAUACACCAAUACAGUAGGUUAUAUACUGUAAUACACUAAUACAGUAGGUUAUAUACUGUAAUACAUUAGGUUGUAUACUGGAAUACAUUAGGUUGUAUACUGUAAUACACUAAUACAAGUGGAUGUAUACUGGAAUACAUAAAUAUGUUUUGAUAUUAUAGUGAAGCAGAUCCUUUGGUUGGAUGGUCAAAACCAUUGCUGUGGCGAGCAGAUGCAACAUAUGGAGCUCUUGUUGCAAAGGUAAUAGGACAACAUAUCCAAACGUUUUUUGAAAAACAAAAAAUGCCCUUGUGUUCCAUGUGCCAUUAUAAACUCCUAAGUAAUGACAACGCCUUUCUCAGUUUUUUCCCUCAUCAAUUCGAACAACGGACCUUGUUGGCUAGGUUCCAGAUGAAUAACACUGUACCCCCACAUGUUCAAUUCUUCAAAAAACCUGUGUAUGCUGUGACUGGCAUACUGGGGAAGUUAGGGGAAACAUUGUUGAAUUACAAACUAUCAUUUCAAGUGUUUACGAGAUCAAGUUGUAAGAAUGAUAAGAAAUAAUCCAAGCCACCUUGCUGCUGAUACAUGUAGUGAUACAUGUUCUGGAUGUAGUGUGGCUCCCGCACUUUUGUACCAUCUUUAUCUUGGUACACUUCUGCUAUAUACAGAUGCUUUCUGUCAUGACUGAUGCCUGCACCAGGUGUUCCACUAAAGCAUGAUCUUGGCAUAAUUCCAACCAUGCAUGAACCAGAUAAAGCAAGUAUUGCUGACAGUCUGCAGUUUAUUCUUUUACUGUACAACAGUGCAGACACUACAAACAUGACAGGAAUGUCUUCUAUCAACAUUUACAUGCAAUAUCGCUUGCCAGAAACAGGUGGGAACAAUGAUGUUUGAAGUACAAGGUCUAUGUAGUAACAGUAAAUUAUAAAAAAAACAUGUGGCAACAAUGAUGUUUCAAGUACAAGGUAUAUGUAGUAACAGUAAAUUAUAAAAAAAACAGUUGGGAAGAAUGGGGUUUCAAGUACAAGGUAUAUGUAGUAACAGUAAUAUAUAAAAAACAGUUGGGAACAAUGAUGUUUCAAGUACAAGGUCUAUUUAGUAACAGUAAAUUGUAAAUAAACCGUGAAUUAUAAAAAAACACGUUCGAACAAUGAUGUUUCAAGUACAAGGUAAAUGUUGUAACAGUAAAAUGAAAAAUCAAUCUGUU
rnacentral:misc_RNA from 1 species